CCUACGGGCGGCAGCAGUGAGGAAUAUUGGUCAAUGGACGAGAGUCUGAACCAGCCAAGUAGCGUGAAGGAUGACUGCCCUAUGGGUUGUAAACUUCUUUUAUAUGGGAAUAAAAUGUUCCACGUGUGGGAUUUUGUAUGUACCAUAUGAAUAAAGAUCGGCUAACUCCGUGCCAGCAGCCGCGGUAAUACGGAGGAUCCGAGCGUUAUCCGGAUUUAUUGGGUUUAAAGGGAGCGUAGGUGGAUUGUUAAGUCAGUUGUGAAAGUUUGCGGCUCAACCGUAAAAUUGCAGUUGAAACUGGCAGUCUUGAGUACAGUAGAGGUGGGCGGAAUUCGUGGUGUAGCGGUGAAAUGCUUAGAUAUCACGAAGAACUCCGAUUGCGAAGGCAGUUCACUGGACUGCAACUGACACUGAGGCUCGAAAGUGUGGGUAUCAAACAGGAUUAGAUACCCUAGUAGUC
rnacentral:rRNA from 1 species